rnacentral:tRNA from 1 species
GGAGCGGAAAGCUCAGUGGUAGAGCACAUGCUUAGUAUGCAUGAGGUCCUGGGUUUAAUCCUCAGUACCUCCA